rnacentral:rRNA from 1 species
UACGUAGGGUGCGAGCGUUUAAUCGGAAUUACUGGGCGUAAAGCGUGCGCAGGCGGUCUGUUAAGACAGAUGUGAAAUCCCCGGGCUUAACCUGGGAACUGCAUUUGUGACUGGCAGGCUAGAGUAUGGCAGAGGGGGGGUAGAAUUCCACGUGUAGCAGUGAAAUGCGUAGAGAUGUGGAGGAAUACCGAUGGCGAAGGCAGCCCCCCUGGGCCAAUACUGACGCUCAUGCACGAAAGCGUGGGGGAGCAAACAG